rnacentral:lncRNA from 1 species
GAAAGAUUCAUGUUAGUAUGUCUUACUUUGUGAUUUGAUUUUACACUGACUUCCUGUUAACUGAAUACUUAUGACAAUUAUUAUAAUGUGUAUGAUUUAUAUUAUAGCUGACAGUUCAACUUUAGUCAGUUCAAGCAGCCAAGAUGACUCUUUUAUCAUUUUCAAGAUAUAACUUACACUUUGGUAAUUGUGGUCUUCCUCACACCGAAAUACUGAUUUAUAUCUUUAACUGACCGGCGGCAUCAACAAUGUGUUAGUGUAUAAUUAUUUUUUUUUAGUUCAGUUUAUUACGAACUACUAGUGGUAGGUCAAUGUUAUUUGGUAUGCAGUUGAAUAAUUACAUAUAAGUAUUGGCACAUCUCUUUUCCCAUGAGAUUGUUUCGCCC